UGAAGUAUGGUGUUUUAUGCACAUAGACCUUUGAAUUCUAAAGUUUGAGUUUAAUUUUCAAUAUUUCAA
rnacentral:tRNA from 1 species